rnacentral:rRNA from 1 species
UACGGGGGGAGCAAGCGUUGUUCGGAUUUACUGGGCGUAAAGGGCGGGUAGGCGGCCACCGCAAGUCAGUUGUGAAAUCUCUGGGCUUAACCCAGAAAGGUCAACUGAUACUGCGGGGCUAGAGUGCAGAAGGGGCAACUGGAAUUCUCGGUGUAGCGGUGAAAUGCGUAGAUAUCGAGAGGAACACCUGCGGCGAAGGCGGGUCUCUGGGCAUCUCCUGACGCUGAGGCGCGAAAGCGUGGGGAGCAAACGGG